rnacentral:lncRNA from 1 species
UGUUAUGAAUGUUCCAAAUAAAUGUCACUAGAAAACAGCUUAAGCAAAUGCAAGGGCAGCUACUUUGUUGUUAUUCUGGCUGCACUUUUUGACGUGACUGUAAAUUAGACGUAGUUGGCUAGCUAGCAAGCAAGGGAUAAGAACGUUUACGGCCAGUAUGGCAAUGGAAUAUUUAGAAUGAACAUCUGGGUCGCAUCCAUAGAUACAGAACAAGAAGACCAGCCACCUUGGGUAGCAAAUCUAGAUGUGUCGGGACUAUGUCAUAAGGAAGGAUGAAAUUGUAUAAAUAAAUAAACAGCACCCGUCGAAAUAACCAGUCACCAACAUACCGAACAUGACAUAAGACAAUCCCGCACAACACCAUGGGGGAAACAGAGGGUUAAAUACAUGAAAAAGAAUUAGGGGAAUGAAAAACAGGUGUGCAGAAACAAAGACAAAACAAAUGGAAAAUGAAAAGUGGAUCGGCGAUGGCUAGUAGAGCGGCGACGCCGACCGUCGAGCGCCGCCCGAACAAGGAGAGGAACCGACUUCGGCUGAAGUCGUGACAAAUGUGCUCUGAAGGAGGACUAAAUUGUCUUUUUAAAUACAGACAAAGAUGUUAACAUCAUGAGAGAAGAAAUAGCAGUCACUCUCCUCCAAAACACUGAUGACCUGAGCCAAAUGUGCCACUUUUGUGGGGAGGUGGACAAUAAUGAGGAAGACUGGGUAAUUGCUUGUUCUCUUCUAAAGGCACAUUUUUACGAGUACGAAUUUGUAUAAGCAGUAAUAUUUCUAGAGGUAGUAUCAUCUGCUUUGUCUGAUAAUGAAAUAAUAAUUGUAAUUCAAG